rnacentral:rRNA from 1 species
CGAUAAGCUUCGGGUAGUUGGAAAGAAACUAUGAUCCGGAGAUUUCCGAAUGGGGCAACCCAAUAAAUUAAUUAUUUAUUAUCUUUAACUGAAUAAAUAGGUUAAAGAGGCAAGACCUGCUGAACUGAGACAUCUAAGUAAGCAGAGGAAAAGAAAUCAUAUCGAGAUUCCCUAAGUAGCGGCGAGCGAAACGGGAAUAGCCCAAACCGAAAAUUUAUUUUCGGGGUUGUAGGGCCAGUGAAUACGCAAAAUGAAUUCUAGCAGAACUACAUGGGAAGGUAGACAAUAUAGAGUGAGAGUCUCGUAUGCGAAAGAAUGAAUUUUGUUACACAGGUACCUGAGUAGGAUCGGACACGUGAAACCCGGUCUGAAGCUAGGGAGACCACUCUCUAAGGCUAAAUACUAGUCAAUGACCGAUAGUGAACCAGUACAGUGAUGGAAAGGUGAAAAGAACCCCUGUUAGGGGAGUGAAAUAGAACCUGAAACCAAUAGCUUACAAGCGGUCAGAGGCCUAUAUCCCAUUU